UGUGAGUCCACACCGUGACCUUGGCCCUGACCCUUCUUUCCAGCCAGCCGGGGAAGCCUGGCAGCCCUCCUUCCAAACGCCUGCCCUCUCUCCUGGCCAGCAGCUCCUGCCUUGUUUCCUGUACCAGCGUCCCCAGUGCAUUCCCCUCGUAGCUCCAGUGACUGUCUAAAACCUCCAGGUCACCGUUGAGCAAACACAGACAGGAGGCGGAUGUCCCCUGCAUCAGGGACUGUCGGCCUGGGACGGGAGCUCUGUGCAGACGCAGUGACGGGGUGUGCAGGUCUGUUUCCUGUCUUGAACCAGGUUCCCCAGAAGCAGAGCUGGAGACAGGGAUUCAGGACCCUGUGAUUCACUGGGUCUCAGGAGACACACAUCAGGGAGAAGGGAGGGGUGGGGAAGGGCAGAGCAAGACUGGGAUCUCAAGUGGCGUCUAGAUGUGGCCUAGAUCCAGGGGGCUCUAGAACCUGACUGCACUGCUGGGCUGUCCCCUUUAGGUGAGAAGACCAGACUUUUGUAACCCGUAGCAGCCAGUCAUUGGCUAUGAGGCUGGAGGGCCUGUAACGUCCCCGGGGAGCUAGCUGUCGUCAGCCAGGGGCAAUUUGCAGCAGGGGUGGCCAUGAGCAUUAGCAGUCAUCAUCACGCCCACAGUGGGGAGAUGAUGGAUACGCAGGCUGGGUAAAGGGGGGUCUGGCAGGGUCCCAACAGCAUCUGCCACACCCCCUCAUCAAGGGGGACUUCUGAAGAAAUGAAGAAUAUGUGGGUUCCUGGCCUAUCCAGCACUGACCUUCCCAGAGCCCACAGCUGCUCGGUCCUGCCUGUGGCAAUCUCAAGUCCAUCCUCAGAGUUACCAUUUUACGGAUGGGAAGACAGAGGCUCAAAGGAGUAAAGUGACUCCAUGAAGGUCAAGCAACUCAUGUGUGGAGGAGCUGGGAUUCCAACCCAGAUCUGAGUGAGUCCCUGCCUCGUUUCUCCCCCUCCCCUUCCUGCCCACCAUAAGAGACUGGCAGGUCUAGGGCCAUCUCUGUGCCCCACACCAGGGCUCAGCUAAAGUCAGGGUCCCCAGGGGCUGCAUCUGGUGUUGGCAAUCGUUGGGAGGCCCAUGCAUAUGUUUUGCAUAUAAUUUGCAUAACGAUUACAUCUGGUUUGCAUGUGUCCACAUUGAGGCCCCAUCAGUACAAUUUUUAAGUUGCUUCUAAGCAACUCUGACUCAAUAGAUGUCCAUCUGGGCUUUAUAGAGUCCAAUUUCC
rnacentral:lncRNA from 1 species